rfam:Salmo salar isolate Sally breed double haploid chromosome ssa22, whole genome shotgun sequence.
UGGCUCAGUUGGUAGAGCAUGGUGUUUGCAACGCCAGGGUUGUGGUUUCGAUUCCCAC